UGGGGAAUAUUGCACAAUGGGCGCAAGCCUGAUGCAGCCAUGCCGCGUGUAUGAAGAAGGCCUUCGGGUUGUAAAGUACUUUCAGCGGGGAGGAAGGGAGUAAAGUUAAUACCUUUGCUCAUUGACGUUACCCGCAGAAGAAGCACCGGCUAACUCCGUGCCAGCAGCCGCGGUAAUACGGAGGGUGCAAGCGUUAAUCGGAAUUACUGGGCGUAAAGCGCACGCAGGCGGUUUGUUAAGUCAGAUGUGAAAUCCCGGGGCUCAACCUGGGAACUGCAUCUGAUACUGGCAAGCUUGAGUCUCGUAGAGGGGGGUAGAAGUCCAGGUGUAGCGGUGAAAUGCGUAGAGAUCUGGAGGAAUACCGGUGGCGAAGGCGGCCCCCUGGACGAAGACUGACGCUCAGGUGCGAAAGCGUGGGGAGCAAACAGG
rnacentral:rRNA from 1 species